GGCUACACUUGAUACCUAUGUGGAGCCACAGCUAGAUAACAUUACAAACAAUUGUAACUUAUGUUAAUAUAAUGUACAAAAGCAGUAUUGCAUAGAUGGCAGUAGGAGACAGUAAUAGCAACAUGAUUUCUAAACUGGCCACCAAACAUGUCACAUAGAUAGGUAGCUAGCUAGCAAACUAGCCAGAUAUAGCUAGCUAGCCCUUGAUCAUGUCUCGGUUCCAUUACACAAGAGUCAUUGGACAAACGAGUCUUCUGUACGGGGAGUUUCGGCAGCAGCCAGGAUGACCAAUCAAGCGACAUAUCCGGAUUCAUCAGGACAGAGCAAUGGAACUCGGAUAUUGUUAGGAACAGAGACCAACUGUGUGUGUAAUGUUUUUUAUGAAAUAUUUCAAAAUGUGAAUUUGUAAUCCAUGGUCUCCUCCACAUUAAAAGGGACAAUUCACACCAAAA